rnacentral:rRNA from 1 species
GAUGAACGCUGGCGGCGUGCCUAACACAUGCAAGUCGAACGAACAGGCGCGGCUCUUGCUCCUCUCACGUUAGCGGCGGACGUGUGAGUCACGCGUGGAUAACCUCCCUAUAUGACUGAGAUCUCUUCGAGAAACCGGAGCAAAUACCAGAUAAUCUCUUGAAGCGCAGUGUUGAAUAGUGAAAUUCGGGUUUGCGGUCACUUCUCGAUGGAUCCGCGCCUCGUUGGCUAGUUGGUAAGGUAACGGCUUAGCACGGCUACGACGCGUGGACGAGCUGAGAGGGUGGUCGGCCACACUGGAGGGGAGACACGGUCCAGACUGCUACGGGACGCAGCAGACUGGAAUCGGCCGCAGUGGGCGAAAGUGUGACGGAGCAACGCGGCGGGUGUGACGACGGCGCUCGGAGCGUGAAACUCUGUUAUUAGUGAAGAACAAAUGUGUAAGGAGCUAUGCACGUCGUGACGGUACCGGAUCAGGAAGCCACGGCUAACUACGUG